rnacentral:rRNA from 1 species
CCUACGGGAGGCAGCAGUGGGGAAUAUUGGGCAAUGGGCGCAAGCCUGACCCAGCAACGCCGCGUGAAGGAAGAAGGCUUUCGGGUUGUAAACUUCUUUUAAGAGGGAAGAGCAGAAGACGGUACCUGACGAAUAAGCCACGGCUAACUACGUGCCAGCAGCCGCGGUAAUACGUAGGUGGCAAGCGUUGUCCGGAUUUACUGGGUGUAAAGGGCGUGUAGCCGGGUUGACAAGUCAGAUGUGAAAUCCUGCGGCUUAACCGCAGAACUGCAUUUGAAACUGUUGAUCUUGAGUACUGGAGAGGCAGACGGAAUUCCUAGUGUAGCGGUGAAAUGCGUAGAUAUUAGGAGGAACACCAGUGGCGAAGGCGGUCUGCUGGACAGCAACUGACGGUGAGGCGCGAAAGCGUGGGGAGCAAACAGGAUUAGAUACCCCAGUAGUC